rnacentral:rRNA from 1 species
UACAGAGGGGGCAAGCGUUGUUCGGAAUUACUGGGCGUAAAGGGCGCGUAGGCGGCCUGCUAAGUCGAACGUGAAAUCCCUGGGCUCAACCCCAGGAACUGCGUCCGAUACUGGUUGGCUUGAAUCCGGGAGAGGGAUGUGGAAUUCCAGGUGUAGCGGUGAAAUGCGUAGAUAUCUGGAGGAACACCGGUGGCGAAGGCG